CCUACGGGUGGCUGCAGCGGGGAAUAUUGGACAAUGGGCGAAAGCCUGAUCCAGCCAUGCCGCGUGUGUGAAGAAGGCCUUCGGGUUGUAAAGCACUUUCAGUGGGGAAGAAAGCCUUGGGGCUAAUACCCUCGAGGAAGGACAUCACCCACAGAAGAAGCACCGGCUAACUCCGUGCCAGCAGCCGCGGUAAUACGGAGGGUGCGAGCGUUAAUCGGAAUUACUGGGCGUAAAGCGCGCGUAGGCGGUCUGAUAAGCCGGUUGUGAAAGCCCCGGGCUCAACCUGGGAACGGCAUCCGGAACUGUCAGGCUAGAGUGCAGGAGAGGAAGGUAGAAUUCCCGGUGUAGCGGUGAAAUGCUUAGAGAUCGGGAGGAAUACCAGUGGCGAAGGCGGCCUUCUGGACUGACACUGACGCUGAGGUGCGAAAGCGUGGGUAGCAAACAGGAUUAGAUACCCUAGUAGUC
rnacentral:rRNA from 1 species